AACUCUACAUUAACUAAAGAUACAAGAAUUGAAUAGUCAUCCUUUUGAGGUUAUUGAAGUGGAUUCAUAAUUACCGUGGCGGGGCUGUGUGUGUGUUGGGGGGUACGGACAGACCUACAAUGAGCUGGUCUCAAGGUCUUUCACUGAAUUAUUUUUAUCCACGAAUUCACUUUCAUCAACACGACAGACAUAACUCCGUGUCACCAGAAAGGAUUAUAUAACUUAUACCGCCACGUGUUGUGUGUGUCUAGGGGUUAUGGUCAGAGUUGAGUCUUAAACAGUGACGGACUCUAUUAUGAGGUCGGGAUAACAUUUUGUUAGUGUUAUUGCAUCAUGGAAAUUAGUUCAUAUAUAGGAAAAUUAACUCUACUUAAGACGUCCUUCAUUAUCUUAACAAAAGGAAACUUGAUCUAAAUAAAGCUAGAUAUGGUUAAUACUAUUUACAAUGUCACAGUUAUCACUUACAACAUCAUAUACUACCAUUCCACAAGAGCCAGUCCGCUUCGUGUUGGGUGAGCAGUACGGACCCUGAGAUGGCGUCGUCCUGCAGUGUACAGAUCCCUCGCAUGGCAUUAUUUUCCUGGUAAUGUUUGAAAGUGUAUUUAGCAGUCGAGGUUUGUGUCCUUCUCUUCACGAGGCCAGCCAGCCAGACUCAAGCUUCUCACGGGUUCCGACGAUGAAUAUCCCUCUUACCGGAUGUAUAUAUGAGUUUAUAUUACUCUUUAAAUACACUAAAACACACAAAAAAUUGCCUAAUUAUCGUCAACAUUACACUGAUAUUCUUCCUUGAUUAGAUACGUGCACUUAACACCUAUUAGGGUAUAACAUUACCUUACAGAAUCCUAGGAAAGUCAAUAUGUUUAUCUUAUCUUGGUGUUAAUUGAACGUAUCUAGGCUUAGGUAGAAUCACCCUAUGAUUUAACAACCAUUUCUGGGCGUUAGUUCUGUGUAAUUCAAGUGUAUUUACGUGUAGUUUUAUAUCUCUACUUACGAGAAAUAGUCAUCUUACGAACCUUCGGAGAUCAAGACCUAAUUAGCUAACUAUAGUGUAUAUAAUUUUAGCUGUUAUAGUCCACACGAUUAUAGGCAUCUUACUUUCAACUCUAAUCAAGGUAGAGUAGAAUUGACUGUUUGUUUACCGUUUCUAGACACUGUUUCUAGAAGUGUGAAUUUGUUAACGUCAUUGUUAUUUAUUUCCUUAACAGUGUGAUUAGUACUAGGGGGUAGUUAUGUUGUAUAAUCUUUAGCCUGUGAUUGGUCAGGUAGGUGUUUAAGGUCCGUGACGUCAAAUUAUUGAAUCACUAGUAGGUUUUAAUUACGAGGUCUUUAUAUAAUUUUGUUGACAUGUACAGGUAAAUGAUUCGUAUCUGGGUCUUGUAUCGAACUUACCUGUUUCUUGAUUGAUUCAUAAUGCAUUUAAGAGUUUAGUUACAUGACAGGUGAAUGUGUCACACCUGUAGGAACAUGUGGGCGUGAAUUGCCAGUGAUAUCAACUUUGUCAUAUUUUAGAUUAGUUUUCUCUGUUGUGUGUGUGUGUGUGUGUGUGUGUGUGUGUUUUAGUCCUCUCUUAGUGUGUGUGUGUGUGUGUGU
rnacentral:lncRNA from 1 species